GAUCUAUCAUGCAGUCGAGCGAAUGAUGAGGAGCUUGCUCCUCUGAUUUAGCGGCGGACGGGUGAGUAACACGUGGGUAAUCUGCCUGUAAGACGGGGAUAACUCCGGGAAACCGGGGCUAAUACCGGAUAAUAAGAGAAGAAGCAUUUCUUCUUUUUGAAAGUCGGUUUCGGCUGACACUUACAGAUGAGCCCGCGGCGCAUUAGCUAGUUGGUGAGGUAACGGCUCACCAAGGCGACGAUGCGUAGCCGACCUGAGAGGGUGAUCGGCCACACUGGGACUGAGACACGGCCCAGACUCCUACGGGAGGCAGCAGUAGGGAAUCUUCGGCAAUGGGCGAAAGCCUGACCGAGCAACGCCGCGUGAGCGAUGAAGGCCUUCGGGUCGUAAAGCUCUGUUGUUAGAGAAGAACAAGUACGAGAGUAACUGCUCGUACCUUGACGGUACCUAACCAGAAAGCCACGGCUAACUACGUGCCAGCAGCCGCGGUAAUACGUAGGUGGCAAGCGUUAUCCGGAAUUAUUGGGCGUAAAGCGCGCGCAGGCGGUCUCUUAAGUCUGAUGUGAAAGCCCACGGCUCAACCGUGGAGGGUCAUUGGAAACUGGGAGACUUGAGUGCAGGAGAGAAAAGUGGAAUUCCACGUGUAGCGGUGAAAUGCGUAGAGAUGUGGAGGAACACCAGUGGCGAAGGCGGCUUUUUGGCCUGUAACUGACGCUGAGGCGCGAAAGCGUGGGGAGCAAACAGGAUUAGAUACCCUGGUAGUCCACGCCGUAAACGAUGAGUGCUAGGUGUUGGGGGGUUCCACCCUCAGUGCUGAAGUUAACACAUUAAGCACUCCGCCUGGGGAGUACGACCGCAAGGUUGAAACUCAAAGGAAUUGACGGGGGCCCGCACAAGCAGUGGAGCAUGUGGUUUAAUUCGAAGCAACGCGAAGAACCCUUACCAGGUCUUGACAUCCUUUGACCACUCUAGAGAUAGAGCUUUCCCCUUCGGGGGACAAAGUGACAGGUGGUGCAUGGUUGUCGUCAGCUCGUGUCGUGAGAUGUUGGGGUUAAGUCCCGCAACGAGCGCACCUUGGACCUUAGUUGCCAGCAUUCAGGUGGCACCUCUAGGUGACUGCCCGGUGACAAAUCGGAGAGGUGGGAUGACGUCAUCAUCAUGCCAUAUGAACUGGCUACACACCGUGUCCUAACAAUUGGAGUGUAUUGA
rnacentral:rRNA from 2 species